GGUUGUGUAGUGUAGGGGUUAUCACUCCGGAUUUUGAAUCUUACCAGAUUUCCGGCAACCCCGGUUCGAUCCCGGGCACGACCU
rfam:Aspergillus niger DNA, contig: scaffold669_025, strain: An76, whole genome shotgun sequence.